GACGCGGCGGCCUAAUGGUGAGCGCAUUGGACUCCGGAUCAAGUCGUCCAGGUUCAAGCCCUGGCCAGUAGUCC